rnacentral:rRNA from 1 species
AGAGUUUGAUCCUGGCUCAGGAUGAACGCUGGCGGCGUGCUUAACACAUGCAAGUCGAACGAGAAACCUUUUCUGAUUCCUCCGAUGAAUUUCUAUUGAUUCAAGGGGCGAACGGGUGAUUAACGCGGGGGUAACCGGCCUGAUCCAGGGGAAUAACAGUCAGAACUGACUGCUAUUCCCGCAUAACCCCCCAGAACUGCUUGGCUCGGUGGGAAAAAACUCCGGUGGUAUAAGAUGGGCCCGCGUCGGAUUAGCUAGUUGGUGAGGUAACGGCCCACCAAGGCGACGAUCCAUAGCCGGCCUGAGAGGGUGACCGCCCACAUUGGGACUGAGACGCGGCCCAGACUCCUACGGGAGGCAGCAGUGGGGAAUAUUGCACAAUGGGGGAAACCCUGAUGCAGCGACGCCGCGUGAAGGAAGAAGUAUCUCGGUAUGUAAACUUCUAUCAGCAGGGAAGAAAAUGACGGUACCUGACUAAGAAGCCCCGGCUAACUACGUGCCAGCAGCCGCGGUAAUACGUAGGGGGCAAGCGUUAUCCGGAUUUACUGGGUGUAAAGGGAGCGUAGACGGAUGGACAAGUCUGAUGUGAAAGGCUGGGGCUCAACCCCGGGACUGCAUUGGAAACUGCCCGUCUUGAGUGCCGGAGAGGUAAGCGGAAUUCCUAGUGUAGCGGUGAAAUGCGUAGAUAUUAGGAGGAACACCAGUGGCGAAGGCGGCUUACUGGACGGUAACUGACGUUGAGGCUCGAAAGCGUGGGGAGCAAACAGGAUUAGAUACCCUGGUAGUCCACGCCGUAAACGAU